CCUGCGGAGGGAUCAUUACAGAGUUAUUCAACUCAUCAACCCUGUCAACAUACCUAAACGUUGCUUCGGCGGGAAUAGACGAAAAAAAAGAAACGGGCCGCCCCCGCCAGAGGACCCUUAACUCUGUUUCUAUAAUGUUUCUUCUGAGUAAAACAAGCAAAUAAAUUAAAACUUUCAACAACGGAUCUCUUGGCUCUGGCAUCGAUGAAGAACGCAGCGAAAUGCGAUAAGUAAUGUGAAUUGCAGAAUUCAGUGAAUCAUCGAAUCUUUGAACGCACAUUGCGCCCGCCAGUAUUCUGGCGGGCAUGCCUGUUCGAGCGUCAUUACAACCCUCAGGCCCCCGGGCCUGGCGUUGGGGAUCGGCGGAGCCUCUCUGUGGGCACACGCCGUCCCCCAAAUACAGUGGCGGUCCCGCCGCAGCUUCCAUCGCGUAGUAGCUAACACCUCGCGACUGGAGAGCGGCGCGGCCACGCCGUAAAACACCCAACUCUUCUGAAGUUGACCUCGAAUCAGGUAGGAAUACCCGCUGAACUUAAGCAUAUCAAUAAGCGGAGGAA
rnacentral:rRNA from 1 species